rnacentral:rRNA from 1 species
GACGAACGCUGGCGGCGUACUUAACACAUGCAAGUCGAGCGGUAAGGCCCUUUCGGGGGUACACGAGCGGCGAACGGGUGAGUAACACGUGGGUGACCUGCCCUCAGCUCUGGGAUAAGCCUGGGAAACCGGGUCUAAUACCGGAUAUGACUCCAUGACGCAUGUUGUGGGGUGGAAAGCCUUGUGCGGCUGAGGAUGGGCCCGCGGCCUAUCAGCUUGUUGGUGGGGUGAUGGCCUACCAAGGCGACGACGGGUAGCCGGCCUGAGAGGGCGACCGGCCACACUGGGACUGAGACACGGCCCAGACUCCUACGGGAGGCAGCAGUGGGGAAUCUUGCGCAAUGGGCGAAAGCCUGACGCAGCGACG